CGGGAGCCUGUGAGCCUCUCGCCGCACCGGAAGUCAGCCCCCGGGACCGAGCCUCUGACUCCCAACCAACCCCCAAGGCCAAGGGACAGGAGAGGAGCCGGAGGCUGGCCCUCAGAUCCAGGGUCCUGGGGGAGCACCAGUGUCAGUGGGCCUGGUUGUACAAAUGAGUGGUGUCUCCUCUCUCCGUCCUGGUGUCUUGUUAAGGAGGGAAUAGAGACGAUGCUGAAUAGUGGUGGUACUUUCCCAGCUCCAGCAUCAGCUCUUUUUCUCCCAGGCAGUUAACUGUCUCACAGCAGACAGGAUCCAGGUGACACUGCUGUCCCUGCAUUCAGCCACACUCAACCCCCACCAUUCAUCCAUCCGUCUAAUGUCUGUUCAGGUUCUUCUUAGUGCCAAGCACGGUCCAGGCACUGGCUCUUAGCAAGGAACAGAGAAGGGUCCUUGCCUUUGGGGAGCCCCGGUUAAUGGAGAAGCCAAAGGAAGAGGUCCAUGCGUCUAGCACAGAGCGAAGGGGCUCGGUCAGGGCGAGUCCAGAUCUGAGACCCUCAGUUCCUCUGAGAGACCCAGCGACCUGCUCACCAGGCUUCAGGCAGCCUCCUUCUCUGCCACCAUCUAGCUGGGUGACCCGGGGCCAGUUUCUCCGUGCCCAUCAGUCAUCUCAAUCCACCAGAGGAGAUGGUCCUCGGGGGUCCCACCUGCCUCCCAGGAUGGUGGCGAGACUCAGGUCUGUACUUCACGGAAUGAGGCCUGUGUUGGCGAGCCUGCUGUUCCCCGGGCUGGACCGUGAUCAGGUUAAGAGGAAGUUUCCCUCCCUGGUCCUCUGCUGCCAGCUGCUUUCCUCCUAAGCCAUUCACCUGUGCCAACUUUUCUUUUUCCUACACUCGCUUCAAAACUUACCAGUCCCACAGGCAUCCUGGUAAGACUCUGCUCAUUAUUUUCCCAAGUGGCAAUUGUCUUACCCUGGUCCCGGAUACUGAUGUCUUCCUAAGAUCUGACCCUGGACUUUCCAAGGAGCCCAUGGCCACUGCAGGACUCCAGGAGGAGGAGUGUCAAGCAAUGUGGAAAAGGAGGGAGGUUCUGGGCCAGGUGGGCAGGUGAGAUGGGGUGGGAAGGGCUCCCCAAGCCACUCUCGGAGGGCAGCCUCAUCCUCUGCCUUUUCCCAUGGGAGCCUCUGAGCCAGCAUCCUGGAGACCUCGGGACACUCAGCCUCAGCCAGCACUGACAGACCUGUCCCCGUGGUGCAUGGCACAGGGGUUCAUUUAGAUGACAAGGACCCCUGACCUCCUUCCACUAGUGACGAUGACCAGGCAGGAGAGCUGGCAAAUGCCAGGGAGCCAAAAGACACAAAGAGAAGUGGCCCUUAUGGUGCUAAGAAGGGUGAAGCUUGGUUUCCCCAUCACCCCUUCAUCUCAGGUGUGUCGAGAGAAUCUGCUCACCCCUACUUCACAAUCCCAAUCCCUCUACAAAGAGGAGAGGGAAAGAACUCAACUCCAUCUACAGAGGGGGAGACAGAGGUCCUGAAAGUCACCUAGAGACUCAGCAUCGGCCUUCUCCUUCCCUCCCACCCACCUCCCACAGGGUCAUCAUCUCUACCACCACCACCCUCAUCACCAUUUACUAGAUGGAGAAACUGAGGAUCAUAGAAAUUACUAACUUAUCCAGAAUCACACAUCUCCUUUGAGGAGGGAGAGAAGAUGUGAAGCCCAGGCUGUCACUCUCUGCAAAACUGCACGAGCCGUCAAGAGAGAGAAGCACGAGGGAGGAAAGCUGGUGGGGUGCUCUCUCCUCCAUAAUGUGCCACGGAGCCCAGAACAAGGUCUGCUGCCGGUGGAUGCGGCCGUGCUGCCUGGAGCGAGUGCGCGCGCAGAGAGCGGAGAGCCGGCAGGAAAAACGCUGCAGAACCAGCUGCAGAAGCAGAAGCCUGCAGAGCUUCUUUCCUGGGCCUUUUCCUCCAGGCCAGCCUGUUCCACUGGAAAAACAACCUCCCCUGCCUGGGGACUUGGGGCCGGCUGGGCCACCUUCUGGUCUGUCUUCAUUCAGAUCCCAUUUCUCCCCUCCCCGGGAGGUGGGGGAGGGAGUCACACUGGGGAG